rnacentral:lncRNA from 1 species
UGUGAAGUACUGCCUUGUGCUGAUAGCCACCUGGACAGCUGUACACACAAGCAAAGCCAACGAAUCAUGUUACGCAAAAGCCACAAGAUUUGGUGUCCGGAAACCAUGAUUCAAAAAAUGACGUCGUCAUUACGUCCAGGAGUUUACACAACACAACAGUGGAAAAUCCGAAAAUAAAACCACACGUAGACCCGUACAAGUAGUAUGCAAUGAUGGACGUGGUCACCCUGUAGACGAUGGAGUAGGCUGCUCGUUUUACAAGCUAGAGGAGAAAAGAGGUCCACAACAUUGCUGGGUUGGGAUAUGUAAGAACGGAACUUGUCGUGACCUAAUCGAAGCGACGUGCUCCGACUACUGA